rnacentral:rRNA from 1 species
ACCAUAGCUUGUUGCAGUUAAAAAGCUCGUAGUUGGAUUUCGGGUGGGUUCUAGCGGUCCGCCUAUGGUGAGUACUGCUAUGGCCUUCCUUUCUGUCGGGGACGGGCUUCUGGGCUUAAUUGUCCGGGACUCGGAGUCGACGUGGUUACUUUGAGUAAAUUAGAGUGUUCAAAGCAGGCUUACGCCCUGAAUACUUUAGCAUGGAAUAACACGAUAGGACUCUGGCCUAUCUUGUUGGUCUGUAGGACUGGAGUAAUGAUUAAGAGGGACAGUCGGGGGCAUUCGUAUUUCAUUGUCAGAGGUGAAAUUCUUGGAUUUAUGAAAGACGAACUACUGCGAAAGCAUUUGCCAAGGAUGUUUUCAUUAAUCAAGAACGAAAGUUGGGGGCUCGAAGA